UCAAGGAGGAGAAUCCUGGGAUCGUGGCCUCUCUGGACCCUGCAGCUUGUUUUGACUACUUGACUCCUCAGGAAGGAUAAAAGGGACAGAUUCUGCAAACCUAGUGAGGAUGGAAGGGGGAAGAUGGACAGUUAACCUGGUCAGGUUGUCUCCUGCAUCCCUCCCCACAACUUCUGAGCGUUCCCUCCCAGGGACCUCUGAGAGAUCUGGACCCUCUAGCUUGUUUUGGCUCCUCGACUCCUCAGGAAGGAUGAAAGAGACGGAUCCGGCAAACCUAGCAAGGAUGGAAGGGGGAAGAUGGACAGUUGACCUGAUCAGGUUGUCUCCUGCAUCCCUCCUCUCAACCUCUGAGCAUUCCCUCCCAGGGACCUCCGAGAGAUCUGGUGAGUCCCAGGGGAGUGGAGAUGGGGACCUGGAUGGAUGGAGCCGGAGAGGUAUUGGGGCUUGCUCAGUUAGGGGGUGGGGGGAGGCAGGCAGGCGGAUGGAGAUGGAGAAGGGGAGCACCUUUUUGGGCUCCCCCACCUGCCUGCCUGCACCUUUGUCAUCUGCAGGCAAUUUGAGCCAGAAAUAGGUCACAGCUCCCCAGUCACCGUGAAGUAUUGGCAGCUCUAAAUGUCUAAAACCAGUUCUGUGAUCUGAAUGCCCUGCCAAUGUCAGAAAACUCACUGAUCCUGCUUUGCAGUUUGAAUGCAGAUGGGGCCCCUGUGUGUUGUCUUUUUCUUUUUGGAAUAACUUCUUAUUUGCUUUUAAAAACAAGGAUCAUAGGACUAAUAAAUGAUACAAAUAUGUAGACUAAGUCUUCGCAUGCCAUUUGCAUAUCAAAAAUAGCAGAAUAAAUUUGCAGGAAUAUCUAGUA